rnacentral:rRNA from 1 species
AAGGGCACCACAAGAACGCGUGGAGCAUGUGGCUUAAUUUGACUCAACGCGGGAAAUCUUACCGGGUCAGGACAUAUUGAGGAUUGACAGGCGCACAAUAGCUAUGGAAAAAUUGUUCGUAUUCGUACGAAUAAUUUUUUUUUUAGCUAUUAUAAAUAUGCUAGUCCUUUCAUGAUUGUGUGAUAGGUGGUGCAUGGCCGUUCUUAGUUCGUGGAGUGAUCCGUCUGCUUAAUUGCGUUUCAAAAAAUAGGCUCUUAGAGGUUUUUGUUAUUUACAGCGUGACCAUUUUUUUUUAUUCGUAAAAAAAAAUGUUUGUCCCUGUUUUAACAUCCCAUGUACCCUUGAAGGUAACGAACGUGACCGCGGCCUCUUGUUGCCUUUCUUCCAUCUUUUGGUGGACUGCUGCCUCGUGAUUUUUUUAAAUUUCCCUUAUACUUUUUUUUUUUUUUUUUUUUUGGGGCCUUUUUUGGGCCUUUUUUUUUUUUCGGGUUUUUUCCNUCNGGAAAAANUNUNGGGAAAANUNGGGAAACNCCUUGGGGGGAUUAACCUUGGGGGAAAAAAAAAAAAAAAAAAGGUAUAGGGGUAACAUUUAAAAUUCGUAAGGAUUAGCAGAGUGAAGCGCAAACUAGAGGGACCGCCGACCUUUUUCAAACGGAGGAAGGUCGCGGCAAUAACAGGUCUGUGAUGCCCUUAGAUGUUCCGGGCUGCACACGUGCUACAAUGAUUGUCGCAGUGAGCAUCUUAAAAAAAGUUUUUUUACGUUUUAAGGCUUAGGUGUUUUUUCUUCGGGAAAAAUAUUUUUGCCCUAAAGACGUUAUAAACCACACCUGCUUCGAGAGCAAGUUGGUAAUCAAUUCGAAGUUACGAUUUCCUUUGCACAACAAAACUCUUGGGUUAGGGUCUACUUUUCUACCUGUGCACUUUCUUCCGAGAGUGUAUGGGGGGUGUAGAUUCUCUCAGGAUGUGCUAAUAUUUUAUUCAUGGUGGGGACAGACCAUUGCAAUUGUUGGUCUCGGUCUUAACUAGGAAUGCCUUGUACGGGUCAUGGUUCAACAGACCACCCGGAAUAUGUCCCUGCCCUUUGUACACACCGCCCGUCGCUCUUACCGAUGGACUUCUCUGCGAGUUUGAGGGACUUGCAUAUCUUUGCUACGGAAACUCAAACAAACAGUGUGGUCUAAAGGAAAGAGAAGU